GCCUUGUUGCUUCGGGCUGCCUCUCCACCUGUGGCGCUGCCUGGGUUGAAGCCAGAGGCAUGUGGGAGUGGACAAGAGGACUCUGAUGCCACAGGGUGGCUACUGAGACAAAAAGAAAUAUGCCAAAGGAAACACUGAAGGGCACCUCUUUCAACAUUGACCUUCACAAACAUUUUGGCUCAUUGAAUUCAGCUUCUCUUUAUUAAGAACGGACUGACACCCACACUCUGCGAGCAGCUGUGGAGGCGGCAACAGCAGUCACGAAGAGGCCUUGUGGACUGCUCGUAUGAGCGCAACUACACGCAGCCCAGCAGAGCAAAGCAACUUGCGUCUCCACAGAAAGAAGUUCCCUGGCAGGGUGCUGUUAAGGACCAGGAUACCUUUCUUGAUGCAGAGGAUGAGCCUCAAGAUUACUAUCUUUGUCCUGGAGAAGACAUUGGAGUCUGCUGCUGGCAUUGCAAGAGGAACUGCAAGGAACAUUUCCUCUUCAAAGGAAUCAAAAGCAAGUAAAGGACCAAUGUUUGUCUCCCCACUCCCCACUCCCCCCUUUCCCACCAUUAUGCAAUAAAUAAAGUCUCCACUGCUGGU